CUGUGGAGCAAUAGCUUUACUGCUUCUGAUUAUUGCACUGGUACUUUGUUGUGAAUUUUGUUGUUGCAAAAAAUCUAAAGAUGAUGGACAGGCUAUGGAGAGACAAGAGGUCAUGAAAACAUCAUUUGAAUGAGGCAAUGUGUUCGCUGC